GACAGAGGAUGCAAGCGUUAUCCGGAAUGAUUGGGCGUAAAGCGUCUGUAGGUGGCUUUUUAAGUCCGCCGUCAAAUCCCAGGGCUCAACCCCUGGACAGGCGGUGGAAACUACCAAGCUGGAGUACGGUAGGGGCAGAGGGAAUUUCCGGUGGAGCGGUGAAAUGCGUAGAGAUGUGGAGGAACACCGAUGGCGAAGGCAGCCCCCUGGGUCAAGAUUGACGCUCAUGCACGAAAGC
rnacentral:rRNA from 1 species